CCUGUUCAGCUUGAUUGUUGAUUACCACCAAGUGAGAGUUCUUUGACUCACAAAAUGCUUUAGAAUCAGUCCAUGAUUUCUCAUCGAUGAAGAAUUUGUAACAACUCAGUUGGGAAUAUGACCAGCCUUGUUCACAGAUGGGGUCCAAGAAUUCUACAACAGACAGAUAUAAGGUUAUUCAUUUGGUUGUGAAGUAUCAGUUUGUCAAGGCUAGCAAAUUGAGUGGUAAUGGUUAACACACUGUGGGAGUUUAACCCCUUAAAUCCUGAGGGCACAGUAUAACGCCCUGCAGGAGCUGGCUCUAAACGCCGGCGGGCGUAAUAGUAUGCCCUCGCUAUAAUGGCCGCCCAUGUGGCCGGCGCUACUCGCCCACUGCAGAUCGUGGUC